UCCCAUGUGGCUCAGUGGUAAAGAAUCUGCCUGCAAUGCAAGAGAUCCAGGUUUGAUUCCUGGGGCGGGAA
rnacentral:tRNA from 1 species